GAAAAUCCCAACCUCUUCUGCAUCAAGGAUGGGUUUCACGGAAGACAACUUUUCUACAGAUGGUGAAGUGGUUGUUGACAAUCUCUAAUGAUGGAGAACUGGUUACCUUCAAAGGAAGCGCCAUCCCUUAUUUAUUCCUGUGGAGUUUGAAAAGGAUGACCUGGGACAGGCAGAGAGAUGGUAUGAUUAGAAUCUAAGCAGACUGCUCAGCAAUUACCUGUGAACACGUCCACUCUUGUGCUGAUGGUGGAUAAAGGAAGUUCAGAAGCAUCGCCAUGUCCUCCUCCGGUUUCCUCCUCAAAACAAGAGGGGCCCCGCAGUAUCCUGGAGCACUUUGGAAGGACGGCUGGGCUCUGAUGCUGCACCACACAGGACCGGCCAAGGCUCUGUGCCUUCUUCUACCAUCAAUCACCAUCCACCACCAGAUACGUGGUUGCCACCACUCCUCCUCCUUCUGGCCACUUUGUCAGUCCUUUUACCUCUCUGUCUCUGGCCCAGAGACCAGAAGUAGAGUCCUAACCCAUUCUCCUACUCACCUUCCUAGUGCCUGCUGGGACCUCUGGAAAUACAAAUUUGAA